UGGGGAAUAUUGGACAAUGGGCGAAAGCCUGAUCCAGCCAUGCCGCGUGUGUGAAGAAGGUCUUCGGAUUGUAAAGCACUUUAAGUUGGGAGGAAGGGCAGUAAGCGAAUACCUUGCUGUUUUGACGUUACCGACAGAAUAAGCACCGGCUAACUCUGUGCCAGCAGCCGCGGUAAUACAGAGGGUGCAAGCGUUAAUCGGAAUUACUGGGCGUAAAGCGCGCGUAGGUGGUUCGUUAAGUUGAAUGUGAAAGCCCCGGGCUCAACCUGGGAACUGCAUCCGAAACUGGCGAGCUAGAGUAGGGCAGAGGGUGGUGGAAUUUCCUGGGUAGCGGUGAAAUGCGUAGAUAUAGGAAGGAACACCAGGGGCGAAGGCGACCACCUGGGCUCAUACUGACACUGAGGUGCGAAAGCGUGGGGAGCAAACAGG
rnacentral:rRNA from 1 species